GACGAACCGUCCAAACGUUAUUCGGAAUCACUGGGCUUACAGAGUUCGUAGGCGGUCUGGAAAGUUGGGUGUGAAAUCCCUCGGCCUAACCGAGGAACUGCGCUUGAAACUACCAGACUCGAGGGGGAUAGAGGAAAGCGGAACUGAUGGUGGAGCGGUGAAAUGCGUUGAUAUCAUCAGGAACACCGGUGGCGAAGGCGGCUUUCUGGACCGACACUGACGCUGAGGCGCGAAAGCUAGGGGAGCAAACGGG
rnacentral:rRNA from 1 species